rnacentral:lncRNA from 1 species
GCCACCCCAGCCUCCACCCUCAGCCAGCCAGCCUCCACCCUCAGCCAGCCAGCCUCCACCCUCAGCCACCCCAGCCUCCACCCUCAGCCAGCUAGUCUCCACCCUCAGCCAGCUAGCCUCCACCCUCAGCCAGCCAGCCUCCACCCUCAGCCCAGCCUCCAUCCUCAGCCAGCCAGCCUCCACCCUCAGCCCAGCCUCCAUCCUCAGCCAGCCAGCCUCCAUCCUUGGCCACCCCAGUUUCUAUCCUCAGCCAGCAGCCUCCAUCCUCGGCCAUCCCAGUCUCCACCCUUGGCCACCCCAGCAUCGCCCUUGACCACUCAGUGCUGGUGCGGUGGCUCUUAUUUGGCACAGCCAUGGUAGCAGGGAGGGAGGUUCUGCAGGGCCCAAUAGCAAGAACUUCCCCUCACCAGGGUUCAUCUAGCUUCUGCCACUGCCAAAUGUCUGAACCUCGCUAUGAGGCCGUCUCUUGGUGGUGGUGGCAAGUGGAUUUCAGUGGACUCCUUCCGGCCUGGACUCGUGCUACCUGGGAUUCAGCCAGGACCAACCCCAAGGCCCAUGGAGUGUCUCAUGCGCUGGCACGAGGACCCACCUAACCUCACUCUGGCUUAAGGGACCCGCUUUAUGGAGGAGAAGGCUCCGCGGCUCCCAGGAUCCUGGCUCCCAGAGGCAAGAGACUUCCACCAGGGGACACAAGCAAAAGGAUUACUUUUGAGAUAAGAAAAAAAUCAAUAAAAGUUAUUAUUAUUUCACAUACUGGCUGGGCGAGGCAGC